GCUCUGCACUGCUCUGCACUGCUCUGCACUGCUCUGCGCUGCUCUGCAUUGCUGCAAGCAGUGCUUGGAAGUCUUCCCACACUUGGGGUUGUCCUGCUUUUCUCACAGACCCAGAUUCUGGGGUCCCAUGGUAAACCUUUCCCCUCACAGUACACACCACUCAUUGGAAACUUGCUGUGAUGUGUAUUACUUAAGAUGUCACCGAAGGCUGCCUCUGGUUGGACAUAGAAUUUUUAUUUCUUUAAUAUGAUAGGAAAAUAUAUUUAUUAUUAAUUAGAGUUCCAAAACCCCAAGUCUAAUUAAAUAUUCCACUUGCACUUCCUUCUUCUGAAAGGUUUCUGGUGACUCAGCCCACUCCCUCCUCCCCUUCCUCCUUCCUGGGAGGAGGGAGCAGCCCUGCAAUGACAGAAAGAGCAUGGCUGAAACUGGUGAACUAGUGGACUGGAUGUGGACUCCUGCUUCACAGUUUACUUGGAUAGAUAUUUGGAAAGAAAUAUUGCUGCCACCACAGGAUGGUGAUGGUGAUGGUGGUGAUGAUGAUGGUGGUGGUGGUGGUGAUACAUAUCUCCAAUAAGCUUUUUGUAAAUUAAAAUAUGUCCUUUGAUGGCUUCAGCAUGUCUUUAAUGGAUUUUGACCUUAUUACCACUCAUUAUCCUCUUUCUUGUCUCUUCUCUUUUUCUUUAAACCCCUUCUUCCCAAUGGGUUCCCUCCUAAUUUCAUGUCUUUGUGUGUAUAUGUGACCUACUAAUUUUAACCAGGGUUGCUCCCAUGAGCGUGAUGGGAGGUUAUUAACUGGAGCAUGGACAACAUAUCAGUGACUACACCACUGAAGAAAGUGAUAUCCACCCCAAGGAACCAUUAAUAUCACGAUGCCCUCCUUUUCAACAAUGAAAUGUCAGCAGGACCAAUCUCGUACCCACCUUAUGCAGAUUUACUUAUAUAAGUUUUAAAGUGGAUUCAUCCUGUGAUUAUGAUAAUACUGACAUCUAUGAAGGCCAAGCAACUACAUGAGGAAACAGGCUGUCAUCUACUCCCAGGAAACUUUUUUUUACUCCUCUAGCCAUUGAGUCCCCAGGACAAUAAUUCUCAAUUUGAAAAUCAUAUCAGUCCCAGCCUGGCUCCACUGUGUCUCCAGUCCCUGGCUCCAUGCCCUGGUGUGGUGAGCUCUGCUGCUGAGAACUACCUCUCCCUUGCUGCCCAGAGCACUUCCUGGGCCGAUCCACAGCCUUCCUUCUGAGCAUCAAGUUGUGCUUCGAGUUGGAGCUUGGGAGAGUUCUUGCACUAUAUUGUACUGCAUUUGCUGAAUGAGAACCCCAAAGCAGAGAAAAAUGUACUCCAGUACUUGUUUAACAUUAAAAAAUAUAUUUAUUUUA